UGUGUGCUGGAGGAUGAAAACAAGGAGUGAUCCAUCGGCUGAGUGUCCUUUCACAAUGUCGAAACUCGAAUUGCUGACAGCACACA
ensembl:snoRNA SNORD71 small nucleolar RNA, C/D box 71